rnacentral:rRNA from 1 species
CCUACGGGCGGCAGCAGUGGGGAAUAUUGGGCAAUGGGCGCAAGCCUGACCCAGCAACGUCGCGUGAAGGAAGACGGCCUUCGGGUUGUAAACUUCUUUUAAGCGGGAAGCGCAGAAGACGGUACCUCUUGAAUAAGCCACGGCUAACUACGUGCCAGCAGCCGCGGUCAUACGUAGGUGGCACGCGUUGUCCGGAUUUACUGGGUGUAAAGGGCGUGUAGCCGGGCUGACAAGUCAGAUGUGAAAUCCGGGGGCUCAACCCCCGAACUGCAUUUGAAACUGUUGGUCUUGAGUAGCGGGGAGGCAGGCGGAAUGCCUGGUGUAGCGGUGAAAUGCGUAGAUAUUAGGAGGAACACCGGUGGCGAAGGCGGCCUGCUGGACGACAACUGACGGUGAGGCGCGAAAGCGUGGGGAGCAAACAGGAUUAGAUACCCUUGUAGUC